GACGAACGCUAGCUACAGGCUUAAUACAUGCAAGUCGAGGGGUAACGAGAGGAAAGCUUGCUUUCCUUGUCGACGACCGGCGCACGGGUGAGUAACGCGUAUCCAACCUGCCCCCAACUAGGGAAUAACCUUGCGAAAGUAAGACUAAUACCCUAUAAUUUCCUCAGAUGUCAUCUGACGAGGAAUAAAGAUUUAUCGGUUGUGGAUGGGGAUGCGUCUGAUUAGCUUGUUGGCGGGGUAACGGCCCACCAAGGCAACGAUCAGUAGGGGUUCUGAGAGGAAGGUCCCCCACAUUGGAACUGAGACACGGUCCAAACUCCUACGGGAGGCAGCAGUGAGGAAUAUUGGUCAAUGGGCGGAAGCCUGAACCAGCCAAGUAGCGUGCAGGAUGACGGCCCUAUGGGUUGUAAACUGCUUUUAUACAGGAAUAAAGUUAGCCACGUGUGGUUAUUUGUAGGUACUGUAUGAAUAAGGACCGGCUAAUUCCGUGCCAGCAGCCGCCGUAA
rnacentral:rRNA from 1 species